CCCAAAUUCACAACCUUUCACUCUCUCUCCUCCAACCUUUCGCCACCAUUUUCUCUGAGAUUUUCCCUUACUUUCGCGGAAAAUACUAGAAAGAAUUCCACCUCUCUUAGGCAAACUUCCUCAUUCUCUCACAUUCCUUUAAGAGUAUCUGCAAAUUCCCAAGCAGCACCUGCUUCAGCCCAAGCAACCAAAGUUUCCUUUGUACCUUCUGAAAUGAAGGCCUGGGUAUAUGGAGAAUAUGGAGGUGUUGAUGUUUU
rnacentral:lncRNA from 1 species